UCAGGAUCCUGUGCGCUUAAACAUACGUUUCUACCCAUUAUGCUAGACUGACCCAUUUAAAGAGUACAGAAAUCGAAUACAAUUUUCAAUAAUAACACAAUGCAGUAAGAUGAAUAUUACUUGUUGUUGAGCUUUCAGACUAAUGCCAGUCAUAAAAUAUAUUUAUUAAAAUAUUAAUUUGACACGUAUGAAAUUUCAAUAAUAACCAACAACAGAAAUUUAUCAAGAACUUGCCUUUCAGCUGUUUGUGGGGUUUUCCGCAGCCGCCGCUUCAUACGCGAUGUUCCCGUGACGUUCUCGUAAGUAAUGACGCGGUCCCUAAGGUAUAACUGGAUCAUCCGGCUGAUGUACGGAGUCACCCGAAAUGCGUCUAGCUUUCCGAGGAUGUGUGGCCAUCACACUGAGUUGGACGCGUUUCGGAUGUCCAGACACAUUGCCGCUCCGGCGGCCAGAUUGAGUUCGAGCCGAGUGACCAAGUGCCUCUCGUGGAUCUUCCUCAGAUAGUCUAACAUAC